rnacentral:tRNA from 1 species
GGAGAUUUAGCUCAGUGGUAGAGCGCUUGCCUAGCAAGCACAAGACCCUGGGUUCGGUCCCCAGCUCCG